rnacentral:tRNA from 12 species
GCCGGAAUAGCUCAGUUGGUAGAGCAGAGGACUGAAAAUCCUCGUGUCACA